rfam:Myotis davidii contig85196, whole genome shotgun sequence.
GGUGGUUCUCGGGUGACACACCUUGAAAUCGGGCUCUCUCUUUUCUGGUUCUAGGUGCAUCACCAAGAAGCACU